rnacentral:rRNA from 1 species
CGGGUGGGUAGAGUGGAAGAGGGGCCAACGAGUUUUUUUUUUAGGGGAAAGGGGUGUGCGGCGGCGCCGAACGAGACGGGCGGGAGAGGCGGCGGCAGAGAGACGGUCGGGGUCGGGGUCGGGGGCGGAACGAGGGAGAGGCGCGAGAGGUGGGGACUGCUGGUCGCGCCGGCGAGCACAGCUGGCGCAACAGCGAGGGGGGAGUGGAUCGUGACGGCGGCGAGGCCACCCCCUUCCAGGUCCGGCCGCACCGCCGCGCAGUGCCUCGGUGGGGGUUUGCGGGACGUCGAACGUCGAUCGGUGGUGGACACAGCCUCGCAACCUACGGACUUUCUUGUCCUGUACCGACUAAAAUGCCUCGCCGUAACAAGGUGACUUACACAAUUCUAAACGCUCCGUGACUUGACUUUCCGGAUCAGCCAGCACCUGGUCUUGGACAAGGACGGCACUAACAGCCAGAGUAUCUCUUCUUCACACGCCUCUUUACGAGGCAUUAAAACCCUUUUUAUUUAAAUCACUGGGUUCACACGACGAAAGAUAAGACUGGUUAAACCCUCCCCUUACAGUGUAACCUACGGACUUCCUUGUCCCUACAUGUACAUGACGAUGACGCGGCAUAACUGACACCCCAUUCGAAAAAAAGAAGGAGUGAGGCGGACCGAACUCUAGCUGGUACAUACAUCCAUGGUAGUAUACAAGAUCGUAUUUACUAGACCCCACCGGAGCCGCUCUCUGCGGUUAUUAGGGUAGCGAUCCACGACCCUAGGUCCCCCGUGGCAGUUCCUCGUUUCAGGAUUCUAGCUGGUGAGACUCAAAACGCGUGGGGUACCGGGGGAGGCCGGGUCAGAGGUAACUGGUAUCCCAAUCUAGCCGACAGAACGCGGCGGUACUCUGUGGGGAACGGGCGCUGGCCGAAGAAGUUGUGACUGUUCGCCUCGCGCGGUUCAACCGUGAGGUGCUAGGGUGGUUGCAGCUUCAUCUCACGUAGCGGGUGUUCCUGCGAUUCCGCGCCGGUUCGAUUUUCCCGUGAACAGUAGCACCACUACUUCUCUCCGCUCGAGCCAGGUGCGCGCUCAGAGGCUGUUAAUGUAGGUAUGCCUUCAGUGACAAGGGCCGUCUUACCACCUGUGCCGCUGGUCUACCUUUACCGGGAGGAACCGUUGGCACCACCAGUGUCGGACCGCGCCGUGUCUCGUGGCGGCGCAACUUCGACUGGACGUACAACCUGUUCACCACCUCAGACUUCCUUUAUCUCAACUCAGAAGUCAAUAAGGGGGACAAGGGGUUAAGAGGGAGGCGGAGGUUUAAGGGCCGGACUUCCUUUGUCCCCGUUGCCGUUGCCGUUGGUUGGUGUC